rnacentral:rRNA from 1 species
AACGAACGCUGGCGGCAUGCCUAACACAUGCAAGUCGAACGAGACCUUCGGGUCUAGUGGCGCACGGGUGCGUAACGCGUGGGAAUCUGCCCUUGGGUUCGGGAUAACAGUUGGAAACGACCGCUAAUACCGAAUGAUGACUUCGGUCCAAAGAUUUAUCGCCCAGGGAUGAGCCCGCGUAGGAUUAGCUAGUUGGUGAGGUAAAGGCUCACCAAGGCGACGAUCCGUAGCUGGUCUGAGGGGAUGAUCAGCCACACUGGGACUGAGACACGGCCCAGACUCCUACGGGAGGCAGCAGUGGGGAAUAUUGGACAAUGGGCGAAAGCCUGAUCCAGCAAUGCCGCGUGAGUGAUGAAGGCCUUAGGGUUGUAAAGCUCUUUUACCCGGGAUGAUAAUGACAGUACCGGGAGAAUAAGCCCCGGCUAACUCCGUGCCAGCCGCCGCCGUAACAC